rnacentral:rRNA from 1 species
GUUCUAUUGAUUUAUGAUUUUAGAUUUGGCCUGCUCUAUGAAUUUUAAAUGGCUGCGGUAUUUUAACUGUACUAAGGUAGCAUAAUAAUUUGUCUUUUAAUUGGAGGCUAGAAUGAAUGGUUUGAUGAGAAACUAGCUUUUUUUAAUUAAUAAUUUGAAUUUGAUUUUUAAAUCAAAAAGUUUAAAUUUUUAUAUAGGACGAGAAGACCCUAUAGAAUUUUAUUAAAUUUAUUUUAUUAUAUUUUUGUUUUAUUUAUUUUUAAUUUUUAUAAAUUUAAUUUUGUUGGGGUGAUGUAAAAAUUAUUUUGACUUUUUAUUUAUUUUACAUAAAUUAGUGUUUUUUUGAUCCUAAAUUUUAGAUUAUAAGAUUAAAUUACCUUAGGGAUAACAGCGUAAUUUAUUUGGAGAGUUCAUAUCGAUAAAUAAGUUUGCGA